rnacentral:misc_RNA from 1 species
AAUAAAAAAAUUAAAAAAAAAAUAGAUGGAUAAACAAAAUAUUCAAAUUACAGGGCAGACAUUGUUUCAAUUCCACAAUAAAAUGCACUUGCCAAAAACUGCCAUUGAGCGGGAAUAAUAAUUACUAUAUAACAUGGCUUGUGCCGUGCCCAUGCCAUUAAUACUUAACAAUACUAUUUAAUGAUUGAGAAUGAGUUAGAAAAGAAAAUAAAAGUAAAUUUAAAGAGGAACAAGAAUUUAAGAGAAUUAUAGAAAAGAAAGUAAAAUAAUUAAUGAAGAAUGUACGUAGAAUGUUAGUAUUAUUGUUGCUUCAGGCUUGAAAAAGUCUAUUAAUUCAACGUAUAACUUGCUCAGCUCAUCAAAGCUAUUGCUUUGUUGUAUAUUAAUUGUUGGAAAAUUAAAUAUAUGGAACACAAUUUUGCAUCUAUAAUUAUUGUCUCAAGUUUAUAUCAUUAGUCUAUAAUAUGAUUAAAUGCUACACUUUUGAAUCCGAU